GGAGUGUCUGGACCUCCGGAGUCGCCUUGCGGGAGGAGGCUUCAAACCACCUACCGGGGCCUUGGCUCAAGGCCGCGUAGUUAGGGCGGUAAGUGGGACUGUCAAGG
rfam:Saccharothrix sp. ALI-22-I Contig19, whole genome shotgun sequence.